UACAAAUUGUUAUAAUUAAAAGAGGAAUGUCCAUCUUAUUUUAUAUGUAUGUGCAAUUGUUAAACAUUACAAAGGGUUUUACCAGAUUAAAUCUGUCUUUUGAUGUAAUUAAGAACGAUUUUAUGUAAUAUGAAAUUAUGGCCAUGUUUCCUUUACUGUAGACUCAUUGCCACUCUAUACAGUCUUCUGCUCCUUGUUCUGACAGCUCCCCUCGGGUAUAGCAUGAGGAUUUCAAAAUGACCAUUUAGUAACUUGGUUUUCUGCUUAAGCUCUCUGUGUCUAAUAAUAGAAAUUUAAUCAAAAACCUUGCUUUAAAGGAUAGCACCUGUGGGUACGUUUGUAGAGUCUGCACUAAUUACAAUUAAAAGGCUCUACCUUAGAGGCUUCCAGACCAAUUUCUGCAGGAAAAAUCAUUUAACCCGACGCUGUUCCCUGGGUCACAAGCAUUGGCGGACAUCAGCCUUUUACUUAAUGAGGAACUGUUUCUGCAAUGAUCAGUCAAUGCUUAAGGCAAAAGACUGUCAGUUGGAACGACUUUGAGCAGCUGGCGAGUUAAAAGAGACUAAAAUAAAUGUCACUUUGGGAUGGAAAAUUCUCUGAUCAAGACAAACUGUCUCUGUAAAUACCAUUUCUCAUUACACUUUAAUUAAUGGUGUCUUGUUACGUUGUAAUUAUACAUUUAAGCACUGAGUAAUGUUAAUUAACAGCAUGUACUUAUAGGGUUAGUAUUAGGGUUUGGUUUAGGGUUAGGUUAGGUGCAUGUUAUCAUUUAUAAUUUACUGUUAUUACUAAAUUAAGUGAAACGUAUAACAAGGACACUGUAAAAAAGCAUUGCCCAUUUGUAUCUGACCUGAAUAUUUAGAAAUCAAUGUUCAGAAAGUUUUGCCAGUAUUUUAUUUUGUCCUGAUCAAAAAUAAAUGAAUAAAUCUACCUAAUAAAAUAAAAUAUUGAAAUAAUUCCCUCGGUUAAAUAAGCAGACUACAUUCCACCCGGGACUCAAGUAUGUCUGACCUGAGGUCUGAGUCUUUACAGAUACUGAUGAUGUUUACAAGUCCCAGGACAAGCAAAAGGCCCUGCAGCAACAAUGAAGAAUGAAUGGCUGUUACAAAAGCUCCUGAAUAUGUUCCCACACUAAUCAUACGUUUAUAAGUUGUUUCUUCCGGCUCAGGGAUCAAAUCAAGCCUUUGCGCUACACAGUCGGCUGUUGUUUCAGUUGUGUUGGAGGUACUGCAGGCCAAUGAAAGGAUGAACCUCUCAGCUGCCAGGAGCCCUUUCUCAGCCUCUUCAUUGAACAAUGGUGAUGCUCAUAAAGAUGUAGAACUUUCUGUGAAUUUAUAACCUUUAUAUCUUUAAUACUGACUGAGUAAGGCCGUGUCAAAGAUUGAAAUCAGGGUUAAAUGAAUGGCUGAAAUCAAACUUUGAUGCUUGUUAUUUCAUAAUUAGAUUUUGAGACUUCAGCAUGGAUUCAAAGACAGGGUCACAUAUAGCUACAUACUCAUGUGAAUCAAGUCUAGCAGAAAGCAUUUGUGUUCCUCUGAUUGGAUCCUGUCCCUCCCUGUAGAUCCGCUGUAUGCUGAAUAUGUGAUGCUUCCCUGGUUCACAGCUCAGGCAGGGCUUGGUAUGUCAAUCUCUGUUUCUAUAUGUCUUGAUCUCUUUAUUUUGUGUGAGUGAUGUUAGCAUGGUAGACCAUCUAAAUGAUCGUUGGAGUGAUUACUGUCACCUGUCUGCUUGCCAUCUCAAUGGCUGGAAUGGAGUGGGAGUCCAAGACCUAGGUCUUGUUCUUCUGGUAAUCAUGAUCUCCUUCACCAGUUACAUUGUGAGACCAUCAUACUAGCCGCUCCAGAGAAAAAAAGCCAAAGGAUUUUUCAGCUACUAAGCUCAAAGAGCAGUGCAGUCAAUAUGUUCCACAAAUGUGCUAAUAAUAACACUUCAUCCUCAUUUUCUCAUUGCUAGUCAGAUUACACUACCAUAUGUUCCUCAUAAACUAUCUCAAUUUGUGCCCAAUAGCUGAUAUUUUUGCAACAAACUUUGCACCCGGCUGGCGUGGACCGGAGGGCAGUUUCUUUGGCAAGUUUUCCAUCUUCUUCCCCUCAGCUACAGGCAUCCUUGCGGGGGCUAAUAUCUCUGGAGAUCGAAAGGCAAGUUGAGCUCCCGGUCUUAGUUAUGUUUCUUCCAAUAAAAGAUUUUUAUUUGUGGGAACUCAAGCCUCUGAAAGCUUGUUUUUUUUCAGUCUAUUGUUUUCACACACAACCUCCCAUAGGAUCCAAAUGUUGCCAUACCCCGUGAAACAACGUUGGCCAUUUUGUGCACUAUUUCGUAUCUCUUUAUCUCAGCUGCUAUUGGCUGGCGUCCAACUUUUUGAUUUUGGACUGCUGUUAUAGCCAUCGGCAUAAUCAUCUUCCUGCUGGGAUAUGUGCUGUAUAAGAAACCCGAUGUCAACUGAGGUUCAUCAAUGCCACAGUGUUUAGUCCUCAGUGGACCUCCCUGUAUGCCUCCUUCCCUGGUGGAUUUCAUCUGCACCUGCAACCAGAGGCUGAUGAUAUGUGCAGAAGUCAUAACAGCUCAAAGCUCUGAUCAUCAGGUUCCGUCUGCGUUUCCAAGAUAUUCCGGACUUCAAUGGAAAACUUGAUCAAUUUGAGGAUAUCAUAGCUCCAUAUAGAGUAAAUUCAGUCCUAAAGGAUGGUCAAGAAGCCGAUAAGAGAACAAAGGAAUUCUCCUGGAUCUGUCUAAUGAGGAAAUGGAAA